CCUACGGGAGGCAGCAGUAAGGAAUAUUGGUCAAUGGACGCAAGUCUGAACCAGCCAUGCCGCGUGCAGGAAGACGGCCCUAUGGGUUGUAAACUGCUUUUGUCGGGGAAGAAACCCAUCUACGUGUAGAUGGCUGACGGUACUCGAAGAAUAAGGAUCGGCUAACUCCGUGCCAGCAGCCGCGGUAAUA
rnacentral:rRNA from 1 species